AGCUGAUCACAAGAGGCACUGGAAUUCCACAUCACCAAAUGGCUGAACUGGAAGCAGAGGGAGAGGAGCCCCAGCUCUCUGGCUUCAGAAAUGACCUCCGCUGAGUGUGGACAUAUGUAGAUGUAGAUGAAGAACUCAGAGACGUGGCUCACAUUAGGACUCCACCUGAACCUCAUUUGGAAGAAGAUGGUGAGGAAGCUGGUUGGUACCUAUUCUCUGAGGACAUAUUACGGGUGAAGUGGAAGGAGAGAUCCAUGCACCUGUGGCAAGGCCCAUGUACUCCGUGGCAAACUGGACCUAACUUCUCCCACACUCUUGCUCGGCAGGCUGAGGACCCUGUGACGAUUCCAUUUAGAUUUACAAUGGAUGUAAAAAAUAAAGUCAGUGCAGUAGCCCC